CCUACGGGGGGCUGCAGUGGGGAAUAUUGGACAAUGGGGGGAACCCUGAUCCAGCCAUGCCGCGUGUGUGAAGAAGGCCCUCGGGUUGUAAAGCACUUUCAGUGAGGAAGAACGCCUGGUGGUUAAUACCCAUCAGGAAAGACAUCACUCACAGAAGAAGCACCGGCUAACUCCGUGCCAGCAGCCGCGGUAAUACGGAGGGUGCGAGCGUUAAUCGGAAUUACUGGGCGUAAAGCGCGCGUAGGUGGCUUGAUAAGCCGGUUGUGAAAGCCCCGGGCUCAACCUGGGAACGGCAUCCGGAACUGUCAAGCUAGAGUGCAGGAGAGGAAGGUAGAAUUCCCGGUGUAGCGGUGAAAUGCGUAGAGAUCGGGAGGAAUACCAGUGGCGAAGGCGGCCUUCUGGACUGACACUGACACUGAGGUGCGAGAGCGUGGGUAGCAAACAGGAUUAGAUACCCUAGUAGUC
rnacentral:rRNA from 1 species